GGUUGGAUGGCCGAGUGGUCUAAGGCGCCAGAUUCAGGACCCGUCCUCUCAGGAUUUUACUUGCUCCUCUUGCGAGCUUUCUGGUCUAUAACUAGGCGUGGGUUCGAAUCCCACUCCAAUCA